GUGCAUUUUCUUUAAUAAUAGAAGCAGUUUUGUCAUGGGAUCAUUGGUCUAAUCAUGACUCUGCUGUUCUUUCAAUGUGCGAUGGCGCUCUUCUUGAUCUACUGGUUGAGUAAAGCUGUAUGCAGAGAACAUUACAACACCUUGCCCACCAUAAUGCUGAAGCAGGAAGACUGAAUGAUAAAGACAGAACACAACCAGAAAUGAUCCACUCCUGUGAAUGUGUCUGUUUUCUAGACUAAAGUUUAACAGAGUGGCAGCAGCGUAUAGAUGCAUACUGUUUCUGACAGUUCCUUUUUGUUUAUCAGUUCAGCUGCUCAUGGUAGCAUUACAUUAGAAAAGGUGUUGUUUAACUAAUGUAUAUAGGCAACAACUUUACAGUUCCUUAACAUUUAUUUCAACCUUUAAAACAAAAGAAACCCAUUGCUCUUCUUCAAAAUAUGUGGAAAAAUGCUUCAGUUUGGAUAUGAAUUAUAUUGUGUUUUAUAGGUAUGAACUGAGAAUACACAUAUAAGUUUUGCAAUUGUAACAGCAGAAAAAAAAGCAUUUUUACUCUUUUUGAUGUUAUCAUUUUUUUCUUUGUAAAGGAAGAAUGAUAAAAGAUUCUUAAUGUAUACUGUAUAAUUUUUGAGUGUAUUUUCUUUAUGGAAUACAAAGAAGAACACAAAUAGCAUGGAAAUAUUUCAUCUAAAUGCGCAAUUUGAUUAUAUAUGCAAAUUGUGUCUUAUUGAUAAUUAACAUCAGUUUCUGGUUUGUUAAAUUGAAAAGAGAUAUUACUUUUGCUUAUAUAAGCAGAUAUAUUUUUUUUUGGUAAAACCAAAUUUUUACUCUUCUCUUGCGGCUUUAAGAAAGAUGGCUGAACCAUAUAAUGAAGCUUUUACCAGUUUUAUUUUCAACUGCUAUAGUAAUGCAAUGCACUUACAAGGUACUGCUUUGCUUUAUACAUGAUAAUAAAUCAGGCAAGAAAUUGGAAAAUGAA